UACAGAGGAGCCAAGCGUUGUCCGGAUUGACUGGGCGUAAAGCGCACGCAGGCGGACGCGCGCGUGGGGUGUGAAAUCUGGCCGCUUAACGGCCAGGCGCCAUCCCAUACGGCGCGUCUGGAGCAAUGCAGAGGUCGGUGGAAUUGCCGGUGUAGUGGUGAAAUGCGUAGAGAUCGGCAGGAACACCCAGGGGGGAAACCAGCCGACUGGGCAUUUGGCUGACGCUGAGGUGCGAGAGCGUGGGGAGCGGAACCGG
rnacentral:rRNA from 1 species